UGGUUCAUAGCUCAAUGGUAGAGCACUCGGCUGUUAACCGAGUUGUUGUAGGUUCGAGCCCUACUGGAUCAG
rnacentral:tRNA from 1 species